rnacentral:lncRNA from 1 species
UUUGAGGUGUCUGACAGAAGAAAUUUCUAAGCAAUAGAGUGUUUAAGAAGUUGCCUGGCUGCUCCUAACAGUCUACUGUCAGAUGUGGGAGUAAAAGAAUGACUUGAAGUUGCUUUUAAGAGCCUAUACUCAGAUGCAGAGGCAAAAGAAUGACAAAGUUAAAACAUGUUUAAGAGAAAAGCAGAACAUGAAAGUUUGGAAAAUUUGCAGCCUGGCCGUGUGGUAGAGAAAGAAAAAGCUUUUUC